rnacentral:sRNA from 1 species
UUUAUAUAAUAAGAUUCUAUUUUUUUUAAGAGAAUAAAAAAAUUAAAUUUUGAAUGACAAAUGUAAACAUCUGAUCGUUUGACUUGACACGUGGCACGAUUCUAUGAGUUAGUAACUUAAUUAGCAUAUGUAAAUUUGUUUACUUUUUAAGAUUUUCUAUUUUUUUAAGAGAAUAAAAAAGUUAAAUUUUAAAUGACACAUGUAAACAUCUGAUCGUUUGACUUGACACGUGGACACGAUCCUAUGAGUUAGAAACUUUGAAAACCAUACUUUAUAUAAUAAGAUAAGAUUUUUAAGACUCU